UGGAGUAACAGUUUGCCUUCAGAGAUUAGUCCAAGCAGUUUCAGUCCAUUAAAACCUGCUGCUGCUGAGCCCAUCACCUUGCAAGGCGCAGACUCUGCCUGGCUUGGCAGCAAGUCCACCAUUAUCCAUGAACUGUUACUGUAAAUUAUUCAAAAAACAGGGUCUCCGAGUAGCCCUCAAGGUUUCCAGAUCACUUUAUGCCAGAUGAGAGCUGAGCAAGGUGGACACGGGUCACCCAGGCCACACUUAACUGGCCCUGGGAACUCCCUGCGAGCACUCCUGGCUUUGUAAAGGUCAUGCAUGCCACAGGGUUUCCAGGGUAAGGGGAUUUGGGACAAAUGCUUCACCCCAGUGACUCACCCACUUCCGCAGAGCGUUCCGGGUUUCCUAGCUGUGCUAUGGCAACAGCAAGUGCAACACAUUUUUGUGUGGUGUUUCAUGCAAUAACCUUUUGCUGAAGUAACUCAAAUCGCUCAAGAGACACGGGCACGCCACAGGAAAAGCAUCACAGAGCCAGCGGGAGCAGCCCACACAGCUAACAGCACGCUCUGAAAUAACGCACUUCCACGCCAACCGGCUUGCAAAGAAGCUGGCAAGAGGCACUGACAAGGACUUCUGCCACACCUCGGGUACUGAUCUGGGGCUUGUGACACCACUAACCAGGAGCUGGCAGAGGGGAAGGGCAGGGCCAGCCCAGGGCUAGUUAUGAGCCCCCAGCCAGCCCCCAGUGCCUGGGGAGCCUGGAUCGUGGAGCUGCCCGUGGCACCCCCAGCACCGCACGAGCCCAGGGCCGGGGAACGUGCCCGAGCUUCAGGGACUCACCUCGGCUGUGCCUCACACCACAGCCAAAUAACACCCAGCUCAGGAGUUCCUGUGUCAGGAGACACAGACACCUUCCUGACAACCCCUCGAAUUCUCCCUACAGGGAAACAGUUUGCGGUGCUGCUCCUCCUGCAAUCACGAUGGAUGCUCGAGAACGAGACAAAGGAUUUAUCAUUCUUCUCCAGGCAGGUGGUGAUGGAUCAUCUCUGGAGCUGUGGAAUUUCCCCAGACCCAAUGUGAAAUCAAUCUCCUGGAAACGUUUCACUGGCCAUAUAGAGGGCUAUUUGGAAACUGCAAGGUCCUCUGGUAUACGGCUUUACCUGCAAUCAUCUGGGCUGCAGCAUUUUAAUUUGUUUCCUUUAAAGAGACUCAAGGGUACCAUAAAGAGGCAGUUUCCAGGAUUCAAAGGAGACGGCUGAAUUUGAUCUCUUUCCAUGGCCUUGUAUGUAAUUACUGGAAAGAGUGAGGUAGGCAAUACAGAUGCAAAAACUGAGAGAGGGUGAAGAGAAGUUAUUCAGAGCCAGCAGACAGAAACAUACCUCUGCUCAGAUUUGGUGGCAGCGUGCUGGCAUUGCUAAGCAGGGAGGCUGGGCUAGGGCUGAUAACAGCAAUCUUGCAAACUCCUGUGGCUGGGAGCGUGUUCCCUGGGACUGGUGCGUGGAGCUGGAAAGAAGGAAAGGAGAAUGUUACUGCCUUCCACCUGCAACAAGGACAGCCAAAGGUUCAGCUCCAUCCGUGGCCCAUGUUUUAUUUCCCCCAACCCUGUCCUAGCCCUGCUGGCAGUGGCUGCGGGUGUUUUUGCUGCAUGCUCUUUUGAAGGAUCACCAUCCAGCCAAGGGGUUUUGCUUUUCCUGGAGUUGCCUGGCUGCCUGGCCAUACAAAGUGUUUCUUUGCACUGUAUAAUUAUAAAAGACAUGCAACUUUUGACACUUAUAAUAUCCCAAAGCAGUUUGUUUCUCUCCGUUUUUGAUUGCACCUUGCUUCAGGGCAUGGCCUUCAACUCUGCUAGUGGCUAAAAAAACAUUUCAGGCUUUGACAAUAUCAAGCUCAUCUGUCUUUGACUACACAACUCUGUAUUUUAACAGCCUAAGUGACUCGUCAACACUGCCACUUUGAGAGAAUUUCUUAUGUGUCAUCUAGUUUUAGUGCUAUUCUAUUUCAUUUGCUACCUUAGCUUAAUCAUUUUUUAACACUCUUUCAGUUUGCGUUUUUAUCUCUUUUCAUCAUCAUCUGUUCCCGAUACUUUAUUUUUCCAAUAAACUAAGUAAUUUAAUGGCCCUAAUCCCA
rnacentral:lncRNA from 1 species